rnacentral:rRNA from 1 species
AUGGAGGCCGUGCAUGAGGGCAAUGGAGGAGGGAGCGGCCUGGUGGUGACGGAGCUGAGCCACAUCAAGGAGCUGGUGAAGCAGCUGGACGUGCACCUGGGGGGCUCGCCCGACCUCUGCAAGCUCCUCGCCCAGCAGAUCUUCGCCGUCACCGAGAGGUCCAUCGGCAUGAUCAAGUCCGGCCACUUCAACGGCCCCAAGCGCUCGGCCGCCGGCGCCGGCCUCGACUCGCCGCCGCUGUCCGCCACGCCCAGCCCCGUCAGCGGCGUCUCCAACACGCCGUUCAAGCCCAACAAGAAGAGGAAGACGUCAGAGAAAGGGAGGCAUCAAAUCAGGGUGAGCUCGGCGGCGGGAGGAGCGGACGCCCCGGCCGACGACGGCCACAGCUGGAGGAAGUACGGCCAGAAGGACAUCCUGGGAGCCCAGCACCCAAGGGCAUACUACCGUUGCACGUACCAGAAGACUCAGGGAUGCGCCGCGACGAAGCAGGUGCAGCGCGCCGACGAGGACCCGGCGCUCUUCGACGUGAUCUACCACGGCGAGCACACCUGCGUCCAUAAGACGGCGGCGGCGGCGGGCAUGGUGCAGCCGGCCGGGCAGAACCCGGACGCGCAAAGCCUUCUGCAGAGCCUGAGCUCGAGCCUGACGGUGAAGACCGAGGGGCUCACGGCGGCGGGAACGCAGGGCUGGAGCACCACCACGCCCUUCAGUUUCUCCUCGCCGGCGGUGAGCGGCAUGACGCCGGCGGAGCACCACCCGUUCUCCACGCCGUCGACGCCGGAGAACUGCUUCGUGUCGAUGCCCACGUCGCUCGAACCCUCGCCGGCGACCUCAGGCUCGAACCACAUGUGCAUGACCCCGUUCCAUGUGCACUCCGAGCUCCAAACAAUGGUGUCUGCGCUCGUGGAGGCGACGAGCAUGCCGGCCGCCGACACGGAGGAGGCCGCCUUCUCCUACUGGGGCUUCGACGAUUCUGCCUUGCACGUUAACAACCUCGACGAGGACGUCAACAACUUCGACAUUUCUACCUUCUUCGCAUGA